UACAGAGGUCUCAAGCGUUGUUCGGAUUCAUUGGGCGUAAAGGGUGCGUAGGCGGCGCGGUAAGUCGGGUGUGAAAUCUCGGGGCUUAACUCCGAAACUGCAUUCGAUACUGCCGUGCUUGAGGACUGGAGAGGAGACUGGAAUUACGGUGUAGCGGUGAAAUGCGUAGAUAUCGUAAGGAAGACCAGUGGCGAAGGCGGGUCUCUGGACAGUUCCUGACGCUGAGGCACGAAGGUCAGGGGGAGCAAACGGG
rnacentral:rRNA from 1 species